CUCUAAACAGUCUGUCAGCCUUUGUGGAUGCUCAGUGGAGGUGUGACUUCCCUUCACAGGAUGUUCAGUGGAGGGCCCAUAUCAAAUGUAUUUUUAAGUGAAUGGCUCACAUAUUUUCUGCUAAAAAAAGAGAAUCGUGAAUGAGAAAGACUUUUCCUGUGAGAGGAGACUGAGCCCUGGAGGAGUUGAAUGGUGAAGAUGGUGCCUUAUUCAUGCCUCAGAGGUUGCCGACAAAGGGGAUGCCUGAAGCAGCAGGGAAGCCUUUCAGGAGAAAUCAGCAAGAGAACAUUGAUGUGUAACUUCUCUGAGCAGGAUUGCUGCUGGCUUUAAAGAUAAUGAGGCAUCAGUGUUCUAGCCCCCUGAACUUACCAUCUCCCACAUGCAGUAGGCACCACAGCUGGAAACUUACAACUACAAGAACAGCUAUCCUAAGAAGAACAGCAGUGGGAGGCAGGUCAGAUGUGGAACAUCUCCACAGUGCAAAUUAAGAUGAAUAGGGUUAUUCAUAAAAGGGCACCUGGGCCGGAAAUGGAUGAGCUGAAGCGGACCCUACCAGCCUGGUUCCUGAGAGUAGAAGAGGAAUCUGUCAUCAGAACAAAUGAGCAUCGCGGAGGGUGGGGGCGAAGGCCAAAGGUGCUUUUAGGAGGACACUCAAGUUCUACUGAAACAGAACGCCAGCCUGUUUCUGUUUGGUGUGUGUUUGUAAGUUUAUAGCGGGCAAGGUGGCAACCAGCCUGGCUUGGCAACUUGAUAUGCCAACUACCCUGACCUGCUGGAAGCCAGGCUGUGUACUUGAGGUCUUGUUUUAUGUGCAACCUGCGGAUACCUUGUUAGGAGCACUUUAUGAAAAGAAAUAUUGCAGUCAGUGAUAGUUCAAUGGG